CUAAGUGUGAAAACUACUGGGAAAGUCUGAUGAUAGCUCUUUACAGCAUUAUAGGCACAAACCUCUGAACAACUUCGUCAUCGGUCCGAGAGCCCUCUCUGCUUUUCCCCAGGUCAUCUUCUACUGUGCCGUCCGCGUCCAGCUCCUCCGCUCUAGCCGAUGCUGGGGAGAAGGGGGCGUUAGAGAACUGACCCACAGCGCGGAGCCGCCUCGCCCCUGCGGGGGGCCUGCCGCGCCGUGCACUGCAAAGGAGACGCCUGUCUGGACCCCGCCGCGGGCGACACGAGGGGAGGGAGGAGGCGGGGAAGGUUUCCGAGCUGCAGCCCCAGCGCCAUGACGGGCCGGGCAGUGCAGGGAGCUUCCCCCCCCCCACACCCGGUUAUAACGGCGCUGCGGGGAGCGGCUCCGCCCCCACCACGGGGCGCAGCGCCUCGAGGCUCAGGCCCCUGAGGGGAAGAGCCAGCGCGGGCCCCGCCAGCCUCCGGGGAAGCUGAGGAGAGAUGGGGAGGCGGGGCCGGACGCCGGGCAGUUCUCCCCGCUCGCCCCAGAGCGGAUCCCCCCUCCCCGGUUCAAACGGCCCCGAGGGUCCCAGCCCCUCCCUCUUAUUCCCCGGGCGGAGGCCGCGCGGGCCCAGGCUCAGGCCACCUGCCCCAACCGCUCCUCGCCAGAAGCUUCUAGAACCCGCGGGCGGGCGGGCGACUCACAGGCUAGGAGCAGGACACACAGAAGAGCGAGUCCCCACAGCGGCUUCAUGGCGGUGUCAAAGCGGACCCAGGAGAGAACAACCGAGCCCCCUGCCCCGCGACUCGAGCUCAGAGGAACGGGUCUAUCGCCGAAUCUGCCGAGCCACCAGCCAGGUGAGCCCGCCUCCCCCCAGCCUUAUCACUGUCCGGCACGCGGGGCGGGGAACGGCGCUCAGCAAGCCGCCAAUCAGAGCGCACCACGCCAAACACAGAGCCAAUGAAGAGCCCCGAGGGGUGGGGCGGAGUCCGGUCCUUGCCAAUGAGAACCUUCCAUGUGCGGCUUACUGCGGCCAGAGCGUGGCCGCCUCUGAUUGGUCACUGGAAGGAAGAGUCGGCCAAUCAUUUUUAAUAGCUAGUUUAAUCUGCCUGCCUUUUAUUUAAAUUAAAUACUCGGAAAUGUUUGACUCCGCGGGCACGUGACUCACCCACGGAUGAGAUCCGUGUCUAAAGCGAUAAAAGUCUCCACAUGGCCGGAUCAAUCCAAAGCAUUUCCGGGGCGCCGGAAUGUUUGCCCAGAGACAGUUACUACGGCAACGUUUACUUCCGGCAGGUACAAGCUCUGCGGAGGCGGCUCCGGAGGAGUGGAAGCACUGGAAGUUGAAGAGUGUUGAACCUGAAGUUCUUUUGUGUAUGAAUAAGAUGUUGGAAAUGUCCCACACUCCAGCAUGCUUAAGUGGAAAAAAAGAGAAGACCAUUGUUUUCAUUUCACAGACUGGUCAUCUACUCAGCCUUAUACAUGUUUGACGUUAAAGGACUGCCAAGAACAAAGAGAUUACUUGGCAAACAAUGUUUUCACUAGACUUAAUAAACUCUGCACUUUAUGAGUGACAUAUUUCAAAGCAAUUGAUCUGAGAUGGUCAACAGAAGAGGUACAAAAUCCAUCCUGCCCAGGACUUCACAAACAACAUUCCAGGUCUACAGCUAAAGCUUUGUCUGGACUACAUAAUAAGCUCAUCACUCUUUCUUUGCAUGCUGGGCCAGACAUGUGGUGUGUUUCACCCUGAAAACUCAUUGUUCUUACCUCCUUAUUCACCAGACAUUCAAAGUUUAUCCAAAAUAGGAAACACUAUUUUGCCACAAAGAAUGGUUAUCCUUGAGUUCUUGAUGAAGGGAACCAACACUGCAGCCUGAGAUGGAAAUACUCCAUGCAGCUUUUCUGAGUGAUUUGCAGUAUUAAUAUUUUUACUUCAAAGAAUAUUGCUACACUGAUGACAAACUGUUGAAUGCUGCAGAUGAAGAAGAGGGAAGAAUAUUUUUCCAGCAGGCAUGUGAUGGCAACUAUGAAGAAUUAACAGAGUUGAAAGCCAGAUGUGAUAGAAAUCUGUGUGAAUUUGCAGGGAGUUUUCAAGACUGGCCUGAUGUAAUUGAAAAACUUUUUCCUGCUUUGAAGCCUGAAAAUACAGGUUAGUAAUUCAGAAAUUUGAACAAAAGAAGCACAGCAUUUCUAGAACUCUGUUAAAAACAUACUUUCAGGAUUGAGUUCUUUCUAAACGUUUCCUAAAUAAAGCGUACAAAUGCUGUGGAAGUACAUAUAGGCAUCUGGAAGAGAUGGGAACUCAGAGCAGAAGAAAGUGGCACCUAUAUACCUGUGAAUAAAAUUUUAUUUGUAACAAGUUU